GUCAUUAGGAAUGUUCACAGAUUUAAAGGGUUGACUGAUGCUAUAGAAAUGCAUUAUUCAGCAGAGACAAUUGUGUCUCCUGUGUUGUCUUCAGGAAACUCUCAAACUUGAACUGCGAUAUUAUUGUGGACUCAUUGUUGACCUUCGCUGGGAUCUGUUGCAGACAUUAACUUGGACAGUGAUGGCAGGAUCUGGUGUCGCUGUGAGACUGCAUGAGUUCAGACAGUCUCACAACUCCAAAGAGCUUGUCUCACCAGCUAUGUUAAAACCAAAAAGAUCACGUUUGGGGAGGAAUGUGCAUGGAUUAUAUCCAGGACAGCCGGGCAGAGUACAUACUAUCCACUCCAAGGCCUGUGGCUAUGAACACCACAGUGAACAGUCUCAGCACCUCCGUGCGUCUCCAAACCAUCAACAGGAAAGCUACCAGCCGAGCUUUGAUAUUUGCACUCUGAGAGCUUUGAGUGUCCUUCGCCACAAUGCUGAAGUCUGGAAGCAGCACCUUCCUUGUUCAGCCUACCAGAAUCAUUUUCAGCUGUAGUGUGCCACUUUUAAAUGACAUCAAGGGAUAUCUAACUGUAUUUUCUGCUCAUUCAUACUGUAAAUGUGAUAUUCAUGAAUAUGCAUUCUUAACUUUACAUGUUUGACUUUGUUUUAAUCCUUUUCUCUUGUGGAUUACAGUAUAUUACCAUGUUUAACAUUAAAAAAAGAAAAAACCUCAAAU